UACGUAGGGGCGAGCGUUGUCCGGAUUUAUUGGGCGUAAAGAGCUCGUAGGCGGUUCGAUAAGUCGGACGUGAAAUCUCCACGCUCAACGUGGAGGGCCGUUCGAUACUGUCGUGACUCGAGUCCGGUAGGGAGUGUGGAAUUCCCGGUGUAGCGGUGAAAUGCGCAGAGAUCGGGAGGAACACCCGUAGCGAAGGCGGCACUCUGGGCCGGUACUGACGCUGAGGAGCGAAAGCGUGGGAG
rnacentral:rRNA from 1 species